GGCGGAGGAACAGGGUGGUGAAUCCUUAAUUAACAGGAUGCUCAGGGAAGCCAUGCAGGCUGCAUAAAGCUGUUGUGAAAGGCCGCAUUUAGGAUAGAUGCAGCAGCCUCUCAGCGAUAUCACUAACUUCAGGAGGCAGAAAGGCAGUUUCAGAGUUCUAGUCAGUGGUGAGAUGGGAGAUUAUUUCCUCUGGAAACCCUGAAUCUGUCUCUCUGAAAGCAUCUUCAUACUGUUAAAUGACUUGCUUAAUGGUAGGGCUCAGAGGUUCCAAAGCUCAGUUUCUGAAACUAAUUCAAAAUGUGCGCUCAAGAAACAAAAGGAAAGAAACAAUCACGAGCAAAAAUACAAAAGACGUAAUGAUUUCAACUAAUGUUAAAUUCCCUGAGGAACCAGGGAGCUUGUCAAUAUUUGGGGAAAGGUGAAAGAACAUAGAAUAUCCUUUUUUCCGAGCAAUAUUAUUGAAUUUAAUAAUUUAGUGGAAAUGUUCAUUUAAUUAUACAUUAAUGGGUAUGCAGUGAUAAUUUUUACAAAGUGCCAGGCGUGGUUGCUAGGCACAAGAGCUACUAAGAAGAAAGACACACCUCAGACACACCUCUGAAGUUAAAGAACAUUUAUUAGUCUUCUCGGAGUGAAUACCGAAACUUCCUGUGAUGAGACACAGACACCAGAAAGCUUUAAAAGAGUGAUUUAAGGAGAUGCAUCAAUAUUCCUUGAGACUUGUUUGCAAUCACAGUUGUCCUGAGAGUUUUGAAGGCUUGUCAGAUGUUAAAGGAUUAGCCUUGGUUCUUCAGCACAGACUUGCCUGCAUCUGUGGUUUCGAGGCUCUCCAUGCUGGAAAAAUCUCUGCCAGGACAGCUGGGCCCCACAUCAGCAGACACUCAGAGGCAAGAAAACAGCUGACAGAAAUUGGACAUCAGUGUCACCUUACGUAGCAAGAGAGAAUGUUCCCUGGCCCAGGUGAAAAUAAUAAAAGGAAAAUACUGCCACAUGGAGUUGUCGAGCUGCAGCUAAUAUGAAGUAUCUAUAUAAAAAAAAGUCAUCUUUCCAAGUAUACCAUGAAUCUGGACUUCAAUUUCCCACUGAUUUCUUUCCUGCUGCUGACAAUGGUCACAUCACAAAAUCCUGUCUCAUCCACAAUAGGAGGGCUUAAGUUGCAUCACGUUGUCUUCAGAAACUGCAGAGCAUUUGUAGGAUCAACUAACGCAGAAAAAUUAAGUAGAAGUUCAAGGUUAGAUAAAGAACAGGUGAGUGCUCUGGAGGAAAAUAUCAAUCCACAAAUAACCGAGAACAAAACACUGCAGCAGGCACACACUGAGUUACUCUUACCAUCACCGUGGGAAAUGGAAUUGAGGAGAGACGCAUCCACCUUCACUGUCUGCUCUUACCGUCUUAGAUUGGCAAGUUUGAGACCCUGUAAAUGAGUACACGGAAUGAUCAAAAGCAGUUAACAAGGACAUGUUGGUCUCAGAAACACACAGGCUACUUUGGCAUGUGGGAGACUAAGAAUGAAGCCAACAGGAAAAGAAGUAAGAAGUAAAGAUGGGGAUGAAGUCCUGACCGCGCUGUUUGAGCCCCUGACCGAGCUGUACUUCAAACGAGACUAUCCCCUGGACUUUCAAGCAACUUGAGCCGAUAAAUUCCCCUUAUUUUUAAGCCAGGUAGAAUUGGUUUUCUUUCACAUGCAACAGAAAGAAUCCUAAGUGAUAUAUUUAGGAAGUGAGAGGAACUAAACCUGCUAGUUGAAGGCAUCGUCUCUACAGCCAACAAAAGCUCAAGUAGUCAAAUCUGAUAGAUUCACAGCGUGGUCAACGGCGCUCUUCAAUGUCUUUGACUGGAUCUUUCUGUAUUCUUACUUGUGUUCACAAUCAGCCCACAUCUGAUUUUGAUAGAGUCAUUUUUUCUAAAUAUCCCCAAAUAAUCUUUCCCAAUAGAAGGAAUAAAAUAUCUUGAGUUUUAUACACGUGAAUCCCAUAUCUCCAUCUAUUUUUAAGCAUGUCCCUAAGACUCAAAACUCAAAAUUGUUAUUUUAUGAGGAGUCUUAAACAAAAACAAAAACAAAACCUCAAGGGUUUAAUCUGGAAUACUAAUUGGGUUGAAAAUAAACACAAAAAUUCAGCGGC
ensembl:lncRNA